rnacentral:rRNA from 1 species
UACGAAGGGGGCUAGCGUUGUUCGGAUUUACUGGGCGUAAAGCGCACGUAGGCGGAUCUUUAAGUCAGAGGUGAAAUCCCAAGGCUCAACCUUGGAACUGCCUUUGAUACUGGAGAUCUUGAGUCCGGGAGAGGUGAGUGGAACUGCGAGUGUAGAGGUGAAAUUCGUAGAUAUUCGCAAGAACACCAGUGGCGAAGGCGGCUCACUGGCCCGGUACUGACGCUGGAGGUGCGAAAGCGUGGGGAGCAAACAG